rnacentral:rRNA from 1 species
UACGAAGGAUCCAAGCGUUGUCCGGAUUUACUGGGUUUAAAGGGAGCGUAGGCGGAUCUUUAAGUCAGUGGUGAAAGCUCCCAGCUUAACUGGGAAAUUGCCAUUGAAACUGAAGAUCUCGAGUACGGUUGAGGUUACUGGAAUGUUGCAUGUAGCGGUGAAAUGCUUAGAUAUGCAACAGAACACCAAUUGCGAAGGCAGGUAACUAAGCCAUAACUGACGCUGAGGCUCGAAAGCGUGGGGAGCAAACAGG